UCUGUCAUUCCAUAGGAAAGCUGUCUGGCUUGGAGGUUGCAAUCCCAGGGAAUUUUUCAUCAGCGGGGAAGUCUCCAUCACUACAGAGGGAUCAAGGGAGAAGUCAGUCCCUGCCUAGGGCUUCCCUGGUGGCGCAGUGGUUGAGAAUCUGCCUGCCAAUGCAGGGGACACGGGUUCGAGCCCUGGUCUGGGAGGAUCCCACAUGCCGCGGAGCAACUAGGCCCGUGAGCCACAACUACUGAGCCUGCGCGUCUGGAGCCUGUGCCCCGCAACAAGAGAGGCCGCGACAGUGAAAACCCCGCGCACCGCGAUGAAGAGUGGCCCCCGCUUGCCACAACUAGAGAAAGCCCUCGCGUAGAAACGAAGACCCAACACAGCCAAAAAAAUAAAAUAAAUAAAUAAAUAAAAUCCAGCCAUUCAUAUUAAAAAAAAAAAAAAGGAAAAAAAUAUAUAUAUAUAUCAGCUUAAAGUUGCAUACAGUAAUCUUUUUAAAAAAAACACUUCUUUGACUGUGGUUAUACCCUUCCAUACUAUUAGUGUUGAUCCUUUUCUCAUGGUCAGAAUAACCAGAGAUUUGGUCUAUUUUUUUUUUGAAAGAACCAGAUCUUGGUUAUAUCGAUCAAUUCUGGGGACUGAUUUAUAGAAUGCUUAUUUCAAUUGUUUCCUAGUUGAGUUUGUUGAACUAAAAUAUCAGUGAAGGCUAUACAUUUUCCUCUCAAUAUAGAUUUAGUCACAUCCCGUAAGUUUUGGAUAUGUGCUUUUACUGUCAUUAAUGAAAAAAAUUCUAUAAUCUCAAUUUUUAGUUCUCCUGUAGCCCAAAAGCUUAGACUGUUUUAAAAUGUUUAUUUAAGGAAAAAGUUAUAGUUGUUAAAUUCCAACCUUAUUGUACUGUGGUUAGAGAAUAUAAGCUUAGUUAGAAAUGUUCUACUUUGCGGAUUUAUCAACAUUUUGCCUAAAUGUACAGUUAAUUUUUGUAAAUAUUCCGUGGGCAUUUGGAACAACUGUGGCUGCUGUGUUUUGGGAAUAAAGUUUUCUAUAGAUACUUUAAAUCAAACUUCUUAAUAUUGCUAUUAAAAUCUUCCAUAUCUUUUAUCUGUUAUAUGUCAAAAUCUGAUAAAAACAAUGAAAAUAUCCCAUUCUUGUACUUUUGUCACGUUGUGUAUUGUAAUUAUGUCUGGAUGAACAUAUGAAUGCACUCUGGUUGAAAGCACAGCAGUAAUUUUGGAAGUCUCUGAAAGACUCUUUCUUCCCUUGGAAAUUACAGAGUGGAGAUAGGGUAGAUUCUCAAGACAAGUAACAUUUAAUUAGAAAUGACCCCAAAACGCUACCUUUCCAUGGUAUAGAAACUUGUAUUUCUAAUCCGGAAAAACUAUAAAUUAUUGGCAGAAAGGUGGAAGUAUAGGAAUUUUCAUGCAUUGCAGGUAGGAAUAUAGACUGGAAAUUAAUUUGGUACUAAUGUAGAAAAUUAAGUAUACAUAUAGCUUAUGAUCCAAGAUUUCCACUUCUGGGUCUGUGCAACAAAGGUAGUCUCACAAGGUCCAUAAGGCAAUAUGGACAAGGAUGUGCACUGCUGGUGUUUUGCCUUGUUGGGAAUUGACGGCGACCUGGGUGUCCAUUACAGGGCAAGUGCAUAGGUAGAUUGGUAGAUGCACUCCAUGGAGUACUAUGCAGUGAUCAGAAACCUGAAUUAGACGUAUGUAUAGCAAUGUGAUGAAUCUUAAAAAUACAAGCUUAGUGAAAAUAACAAAAGUAAUGACAUACCUUUUAUAUACAUUGAAAAUACAUGACAACACAGAAUACAUAUUUUGUAAGAACUCUUGUAAGCCAAAAGAUAUUUACAUAACAAGGCCAGUUCCGACGGGAGGACAGGAAUGAGGAUGGGAUAUGGGAAUGAAAUUUUAAAAAGAGAGGCCAUGAACCUAGGAGUAUACUUAACUCAACUCUUGGCAGCUGAAGUUAAAAAAAUUUUUUAAACUUUAUCUUGGCAUAGAAACUGCGUACUAAUUCUAUGCUUUCGCUCUGCUUCUAGAAGGAUUUGUUAUGACUAGAUUGGAGGUUCAAACAGGUACUUUAGGCAGAAACUAGAACACAAUGAAAAGCUUGAGAAUUCUCUCUUCCAGCUCAUAACUAACGUUUUAUGUUUGAUCAGUCUGGCUGAGGUCACUUUUUAAUUAAUGUCACAAAGAAAUUUUUAUGGUUUCAUAGUAGAAAAGAUGUGCUUCUUGUUUAAAAAAAAACAUGAAAAAUUUUUUUUAAAAAAAGUAUAAUCCCAUAAUCUUAAAAUAAUCUGCUAAUAUUUAAUUUUGAUCCAGUCAUAUAAAUACAUGUAAAUAUUAUAUCUUGCUUUUUACCUCUUAGCAUAUAAUGAAAUGUAUCCUUGGGUUCCAAGAUACUGCUUUGGACUGUUGUUUCUCUCCAUAUAUGUGUGAUUGUGAAGAGUGAUACGAAAUUAGCCUGUUUUAUAAAAAUGUAAGAAACACUGGUAAACAUUUAAUUAAAUAUUACUAAAGCUCU